rnacentral:misc_RNA from 1 species
AAGUCGUAACAAGGUUUCCGUAGGUGAACCUGCGGAAGGAUCAUUAAUGAGUUUUGAACGGGUUGUUGCUGACCUCUAGCGAGGUAUGUGCACGCCUGGCUCAUCCACUCUUCUUACCUCUGUGCACUUUUUGUAGGGAAGUUGAUGAAAGGCUUAAUUGCUGGAAGUCUUCUUUCUUAUGUUUUUACAAACACUAUACAGUCAAAGAAUGUCUUAUUACUUGCGGAUAACGCAUUAUAAUACAACUUUCAGCAACGGAUCUCUUGGCUCUC